rnacentral:misc_RNA from 1 species
UGGUUCUGGCAUCGAUGAAGAACGCAGCGAAAUGCGAUAAGUAGUGUGAAUUGCAGAAUUCAGUGAAUCAUCGAAUCUUUGAACGCACAUUGCGCCCUUUGGUAUUCCUUAGGGCAUGCCUGUUCGAGCGUCAUCUAAACCCUCAAGCACCGCUUGAUGUUGGGCGCCUGUCCCGCCGCGCGCGCGGACUCGCCUCGAAGAGAUUGGCGGCCUGUGUGUUGGCCACGAGCGCAGCAGACCACGCGGCUCGUGCCCUCCCGCGCAGGCGCUCCAGGAAGCGACCCCCCCAAUUUUGACCUCGGAUCAGGUAGGGAUACCCGCUGA